GUCAGCUAAGUGGCGGACGGGUGAGUAAUGUAUAGUUAAUCUGCCCUUUAGAGAGGGAUAACUACUGGAAACGGUAGCUAAUACCUCAUACUCCUUUUAUUUUAAUGAUAAUUGGGAAAUGUUUUUUCGCUAAAGGAUGAGACUAUAUGGUAUCAGGUAGUUGGUGGGGUAAGAGCCUACCAAGCCAAUGACGCCUAGCUGGUCUGAGAGGAUGAUCAGCCACACUGGAACUGAGACACGGUCCAGACUCCUACGGGAGGCAGCAGUGGGGAAUAUUGCACAAUGGGGGAAACCCUGAUGCAGCAACGCCGCGUGGAGGAUGACACAUUUCGGUGCGUAAACUCCUUUUAUAUGGGAAGAUAAUGACGGUACCAUAUGAAUAAGCACCGGCUAACUCCGUGCCAGCAGCCGCGGUAAUACGGAGGGUGCAAGCGUUACUCGGAAUCACUGGGCGUAAAGCGCGCGCAGGCGGCUAUUUAAGUUGGAUGUGAAAGCCUACAGCUCAACUGUAGAACUGCAUCCAAAACUAUUUAGCUACAGUGUGGGAGAGGAAGAUGGAAUUAGUUGUGUAGGGGUAAAAUCCGUAGAGAUAACUAGGAAUACCAAAAGCGAAGGCAAUCUUCUGGAACACUACUGACGCUGAGGCGCGAAAGCGUGGGGAGCAAACGGGAUUAGAUACCCCGGUAGUCCACGCAGUAAACGAUGAAUGUUAGUCGUCGGGGGCCUAGUGUCUUCGGUGAUGCAGUUAACACAUUAAACAUUCCGCCUGGGGAGUACGGUCGCAAGAUUAAAACUCAAAGGAAUAGACGGGGACCCGCACAAGUGGUGGAGCAUGUGGUUUAAUUCGAAGAUACGCGAAGAACCUUACCUAGCCUUGACAUAUAUUAGAAUUUUUCAGAGAUGAGAGAGUGCCUUCGGGAGCUUUUAUACAGGUGCUGCACGGCUGUCGUCAGCUCGUGUCGUGAGAUGUUGGGUUAAGUCCCGCAACGAGCGCAACCCUCGUCACUAGUUACUAACGGUUCGGCCGAGGACUCUAGUGAGACUGCCUUGCAAGGAGGAGGAAGGUGAGGACGACGUCAAGUCAUCAUGGCCCUUACGGCUAGGGCAACACACGUGCUACAAU
rnacentral:rRNA from 1 species